UACGGAGGGUGCAAGCGUUUAUCCGGAUUCACUGGGUUUAAAGGGAGCGUAGGUGGGCUGGUAAGUCAGUGGUGAAAUCUCCCGGGCUUAACCCGGAAACUGCCGUUGAUACUAUCAGUCUUGAAUGUUGUGGAGGUAAGCGGAAUAUGUCAUGUAGCGGUGAAAUGCUUAGAUAUGACAUAGAACACCAAUUGCGAAGGCAGCUGGCUACAGGUAUAUUGACACUGAGGCUCGAAAGCGUGGG
rnacentral:rRNA from 1 species